AAACUCUCCUUCCCUGUAUAGAUCAGGAAACUGAGGUUCAGGAAGGUGAGAUGACUUGCUGAAGUUAAUCGAGGCAAAACCUCUUCUAAAUUCAGGUAAAAAUUGGAAUCUUAAGAACAGAAUAAGGAGAGAGAAGCUGCAAACCAUACUCCAUUUCUCUGUAGGCUUCUUGAAUCUGAGGAAAUGUGCAGCCUCAAUUUGAAGACACACAUCUGGGUCCUGGUGUGGUGCUUAUUCGCCAAU